AUUGAACGCUGGCGGCAGGCCUAACACAUGCAAGUCGAGCGGUUGACGGGAGCUUGCUCCCUGAUUCAGCGGCGGACGGGUGAGUAAUGCCUAGGAAUCUGCCUAUUAGUGGGGGACAACGUUUCGAAAGGAACGCUAAUACCGCAUACGUCCUACGGGAGAAGGCAGGGGACCUUCGGGCCUUGCGCUAAUAGAUGAGCCUAGGUCGGAUUAGCUUGUUGGUGAGGUAAUGGCUCACCAAGGCGACGAACCGUAACUGGUCUGAGAGGAUGAUCAGUCACACUGGAACUGAGACACGGUCCAGACUCCUACGGGAGGCAGCAGUGGGGAAUAUUGGACAAUGGGCGAAAGCCUGAUCCAGCCAUGCCGCGUGUGUGAAGAAGGUCUUCGGAUUGUAAAGCACUUUAAGUUGGGAGGAAGGGUUGUAGAUUAAUACUCUGCAAUUUUGACGUUACCGACAGAAUAAGCACCGGCUAACUCUGUGCCAGCAGCCGCAGUAACAC
rnacentral:rRNA from 1 species